rnacentral:rRNA from 1 species
AGAACGAACGCUGGCGGCAGGCCUCAAACAUGCAAGUCUAGGGGGUGUAGCAAUACAUCACCGGCGGACGGGUGCGUAACACGUGGGAAUAUACCUUUUGGUUCGGAACAACGCAGGGAAACUUGCGCUAAUACCGAAUGUGCCCUUACGGGGAAAGAUUUAUCGCCAAAGGAUUAGCCCGCGUAGGAUUAGCUAGUUGGUGAGGUAAUGGCUCACCAAGGCUCCGAUCCUUAGCUGUUCUGAGAGGAAGAUCAGCCACACUGGGACUGAGACACGGCCCAGACUCCUACGGGAGGCAGCAGUUGGGAAUCUUGGACAAUGGGGGAAACCCUGAUCCAGCCAUGCCGCGUGAGUGAUGAAGGCCUUCGGGUUGUAAAACUCUUUCGACGGGGACGAUAAUGACGGUACCCGUAGAAGAAGCUCCUGCUAACUUCGCGCCAGCAGCCGC